rnacentral:sRNA from 11 species
GUCAGUAACCCAGCCCUAAAGGGACUGGGCUUGCAAGAGUAAUCAAGCAAGCCGUGCUGACCAGACCACCCUGAGCAUAGUCGAAGGGUAGCCGUUAUUUGAGUCACGACACCCCGGAAUGCGUAGCCCCUUCGGGGUUCAGCA